rnacentral:rRNA from 1 species
UACGUAGGUGGCAAGCGUUGUCCGGAUUUAUUGGGUUUAAAGGGCGCGUAGGCGGCGUGGUAAGUCACUUGUGAAAUCUCUGAGCUUAACUCAGAACGGCCAAGUGAUACUGCUGUGCUAGAGUGCAGAAGGGGCAAUCGGAAUUCCUGGUGUAGCGGUGAAAUGCGUAGAUAUCAGGAGGAACACCUGCGGUGUAGACGGCUUACUGGACGGUAACUGACGCUGAGGCACGAAAGCGUGGGUAGCAAACAGG